rnacentral:rRNA from 1 species
CAGCCGCCGCGGUAAUACAGAGGGUGCAAGCGUUAAUCGGAAUUACUGGGCGUAAAGCGCGCGUAGGUGGUUUGGUAAGUUAGAGGUGAAAGCCCGGAGCUCAACUCCGGAAUUGCCUUUAAGACUGCCGAGCUAGUAGGUGAGAGAGGUAAGUGGAAUUCCGAGUGUAGAGGUGAAAUUCGUAGAUAUUCGGAAGAACACCAGUGGCGAAGGCGGCUUACUGGCUCAUUCUAGACGCUGAGGUGCGAAAGCGUGGGGAGCAAACAGGAUUAGAUACCCCUGUAGUCCCUGUCUCUUAUAC